GACGAACCGUGCGAACGUUAUUCGGAAUCAUCUGGGUACGUUAAAGGGCGCGUGAUGGCGGGCUCGGACAGGUCGAGGGGUGAAAGCCCACGGCUCAACCCGGUGGAAGUCGCCUUUGAAUACCGGUGAGUCUGAGGGAGGUAGGGGCGGUGCGGGAACUUCCGGUGGAGCGGUGGAAAUGACUGUAUGAGUAUCGGAAGGAACAUCCGGUGGCGAAAGCGGCGCGCUGGACCGUCUUCUGACGCUGAGGCGCGAAAGCCAGGGAGCAACGGG
rnacentral:rRNA from 1 species